rnacentral:lncRNA from 1 species
AGCAGACAGUUACAGCUCCCACUAGGACACUGCCUUCUCAGCGGCUUCAGUUAUCAGAUAUUCCUGGACAUACUUUCCAAGCCAUGAAAAAUAACCAGAGCCACAGCUUUCCCAGCACUCUGACAAACAUCCAUGAGCCCCCAAAGACCGGGAAGUAAUGAUGAUGCAGCUGCGGCACCAUAGAAGAAACAAGUGAUUUCAGUCAAAGGGCCUGGACUCACGAGCUAGCAACUUUGGACAGAUUCUUGAACUCUCAGCCUCAGUUUCUGCUUCUGUAAAGGGAGAUAACUACAGUGACCUUCAGGUUAUCUUGAAGAUGCCAAUGAGCUAGUGAAAAUGCAAUUUAAUCUGUACAGAACUAAACAAAUUAGGCUGAGAUACCUAUUGCUGUGGUCAGCAACACCAUGGAGGCUUCACUGUGGGACUUCAGAUUUGUUGGUGAAGAGAAAGCUAUGGGGGUCCCACUCUCCCUCCCAGCUUGAGGUCUCUGAGAUGCAACACAAGGAGCCUUGGAAUGAAUUUCUCCACAGCCAGAGCUCUAAAUCUGGAAGAAGCCCAAGACUACUGCUGGAGCUCACAGAAUGGUCAUCCCUGGAGCAGCAGCCAUCUCCCCUACAUCCUACCUGCCUCCCCAUCAUACUUAGAAGGCAAACCUCCUUCCCCUUGGAGCCUGGAAGGGGAGCGGUGGCUGAGGAACCAGAGGAAAGCAAGGUGGCUUCAUGACAGAGGUCAAGGGGACUAUGUUAGAUAGGGCUUUUUAUGGCAAGUGACAGAAAUCCAGCUUAAAUUAUCUUAAGGAAAAGAGGAAAAUGUACUGGCUCAAGUAACCAGGCUGAGGGAAGGGCAGGUGGCCACCAGGGUCCUGGGACAGUGCAACGAGGACUUGGAACCCACCAGGCCCUUUCUGUCUCUUGUCUCUUCUCUCUAAGGCUCAGUUUAAUUCUCCUGCAGAUUGGUGCCUUCCUUGCAGUAUAAAAACAUGGCUGCCAGCUGCUCUCAUGAGCACCUCUUCCCAGCUUCAUGAUUAAGAAGGAAUGCUCUUCCUUCCAUUCCAGUUAGUAAAGUCCUAGACAAGAAAGCCAAAUGGCCCAGUCCUGUGGGCAAAAAGGUGAAGCACUAUAAAAGACAGUUCCCAUUAACAUCAAGUGGAGGAAGAGGAAGAGUAGCUGCCCAUGAAGGAUUCUCAGAAGGAGGGCUGGGUGCCCAGCAGGCAACAGCACAGAUGUCCACCAGAUAAGGAUCUUCCAGUCCUGGGCCCCCAAGCCUCUGCAGUAUGGUGGGAGCUGCCCCGGGUGAGCAGCAGGGGAAAAGAAACAGGGAUGAGACAGCAGGGCUGGAGUUGCUGAAAUCCUGGCAAAAUUCGAUUUGUGGUCAGAAUGAAACAUGCCUUCAUAACUCAGGUCUUCAAUGCUUUGGGGAACUCAUGUGGCUUGGGAGGCUGAAGGCACACAAGAGAGGAGGGCAAGGGGAUCAGAGACACCCCACAAUUCCAGAAACCACCCUGGGCUUCAAAUGCAAAUGUUGCUGACAUGCAGAAGGAGUGGGGUUGUAAACAUAAGGGUUGGAAAAAAAAAAGAACGCAGUCUGGUUGCAGUAUUUCCACCUGAGCCCUGCAGAGCUGUUCUGCCAGACAGUCUACAAAGCAUGCACCUGGGUCUGCAAGUGCUGGGUGUGUGCUUCUAUUUAAUAAAUAACCCUGGCACACUGUAUAAACAUCAGAUGAACAUGAAAGCUGCAACAUCUGGAGAACUGUCACCAUCUGCCACUCUGAGGGGAGCAUUUAAAGAAUCAGCGGGAUAGGAGCGGUAUGUGGCCUGAGUUAAAAAAAAAUGUUGGCAGCUGCUGCCAGCUAUCAGUUGCUGCGAAUAGCAGUGGUUCUUCCUGACGUGGCAGUUUAUGGACUUUCACAAAUCCCGGGUGACCCCUCACAAAGGCGGAGGCCAACAUACUAACCGGCUCCAAUAGCCAUCACUCACCAAGUGCGUUUACAAGGCUUUGUUCCUGUCUCUUUUGUGGCCUCACAAUGGCAGAUGCACACCAGGUCCCACAACCAGAGAAAAAGAGAGGGAGGUUACUCGUGGAGAUGUCAGAAAAAGUACUCCCCUUGUGCCUGACUUCUUUGAUUAAACCCUUGUUUGAUUUUGUCCAGAGAGGCAAGACUUCAACAUGUAGCUCUAAGUGCUGGGCCAGGCACCCCAGGUUUAGAUGAAAAACUAACGCUGAUAGAGGUAUGUGUUUACAUCAGACCGAGGUUAUACUUACAUUUUUCAUUUGUUAAUAUAAAUCUAAGUUAACCACCUCAAGCGGGACUCAGCAAGGGCUGCUCUUUAUUAAUGGGCUGGUCGUUGCUGUUUUUAAGAGAGUGUCAUUAACCCUAACAUACGGGCUCCUUGUGUAAUUGAACAGUAAAUGUGAUUAUGAUCCCAACUGCCAUCUCCAGGCACUUCUUGGAACACAAGUUCUUUGUACAGGAGAAAUAGUCAGACAC